GCCGAAGAUGCGUCGCUAUAUUUUUGCAACUUCUGUUGUUCUGUUGUGGCGAAGUUAAAAAAAAAUGUGUCAACUAGAUGAAUUGCAUUCCAACAUUGCCGAUAACGUACCAGCGAAAUAGUCCUAUCGAUGGCAUGCGGCUACUACAAAAGCUACGAGUUAUCUUCAGCGCUCAUCCAAAGGCUGCAGUUUAUUCUAAUCCAGGUUCGCAUGCGGCUCCCAUGCACCGACAUGGUGCGCAUGGCGACUUGGACAUCCAAACCAGAGGGAUCUCUCAUCCGAAUGCUCCAGUGCAUAUUUCAUAAUCUAAGAUGAUAUACAACAUUAUUCAUUGUAUUCUGAUUAAGAUGCGCUUGUAG